rnacentral:rRNA from 1 species
UCUGGGAUUAGAUACCCUGUUAUUUAAAAUGUAAUUAUAAAGACUAAGGUAGUAUUAGAUAUGUUCUUUAAACUUAAAAAAUUUGGCGGUAUUUUAGUCUAUUCAGAGGAACCUGUUUUGUAAUCGAUAAUCCACGAUGGACCUUACUUAAGUUUGUUAAUCAGUUUAUAUACCGUUGUUAUUAGAAUAUUUUAUAAGAAUGUUAAUUUUCAAAAUUUUUUAUAAAAAGUAUAUCAAAUCAAGGUGUAGCUUAUAUUUAAGUAUAAAUGGGUUACAAUAAAUUUAUUUAAGCGGAUAUAGAUUUGAAAUAUCUAUUAAAGAUGGAUUUGAUAGUAAAAUUAUAUAGAUUAAUAAUUUGAUUUUAGCUCUAAAAUAUGCACAAAUCGCCCGUCACUCUCUGA